rnacentral:rRNA from 1 species
GACGAACGCUGGCGGCGUGCCUAAUACAUGCAAGUCGAACGAGAGCGACCGGUGCUUGCACUGGUCAAUCUAGUGGCGAACGGGUGAGUAACACGUGGGUAACCUGCUCAUCAGAGGGGGAUAACAUCCGGAAACGGAUGCUAAAACCGCAUAGGUCUUCGAGCCGCAUGGCUUGAAGAGGAAAAGAGGCGCAAGCUUCUGCUGAUGGAUGGACCCGCGGUGCAUUAGCUAGUUGGUGAGGUAACGGCUCACCAAGGCCGUGAUGCAUAGCCGACCUGAGAGGGUGAUCGGCCACAGUGGGACUGAGACACGGCCCAAACUCCUACGGGAGGCAGCAGUAGGGAAUCUUCCGCAAUGGACGCAAGUCUGACGGAGCAACGCCGCGUGAGUGAAGAAGGUUUUCGGAUCGUAAAACUCUGUUGUUAGAGAAGAACAAGUGCUAGAGUAACUGUUAGCGCCUUGACGGUAUCUAACCAGAAAGCCACGGCUAACUACGUG